rnacentral:rRNA from 1 species
AUGAACGCUGGCGGCGUGCCUAAUACAUGCAAGUCGAGCGAACAGACGAGGAGCUUGCUCCUCUGACGUUAGCGGCGGACGGGUGAGUAACACGUGGAUAACCUACCUAUAAGACUGGGAUAACUUCGGGAAACCGGAGCUAAUACCGGAUAAUAUCUUGAACCGCAUGGUUCAAUAGUGAAAGACGGUUUUGCUGUCACUUAUAGAUGGAUCCGCGCCGCAUUAGCUAGUUGGUAAGGUAACGGCUUACCAAGGCAACGAUGCGUAGCCGACCUGAGAGGGUGAUCGGCCACACUGGAACUGAGACACGGUCCAGACUCCUACGGGAGGCAGCAGUAGGGAAUCUUCCGCAAUGGGCGAAAGCUUGACGGAGCAACGCCGCGUGAGUGAUGAAGGUCUUCGGAUCGUAAAACUCUGUUAUUAGGGAAGAACAAAUGUGUAAGUAACUAUGCACGUCUUGACGGUACCUAAUCAGAAAGCCACGGCUAACUACGUG